rnacentral:rRNA from 1 species
UGUGUAGGCGGGGGAUUAAGUCAGUGGUGAAAUCCUACAGCUUAACUGUAGAACUGCCAUUGAUACUGGUUUUCUUGAGUAUAGUUGAAGUGGGCGGAAUGUGUAUUGUAGCGGUGAAAUGCUUAGAUAUUACACAGAACACCUAUUGCGAAGGCAGCUCACUAAACUAAUACUGACGCUGAGGCACGAAAGCGUGGGGAGCAAACAGGAUUAGAUACCCUGGUAGUCC